rnacentral:rRNA from 1 species
AUUGAACGCUGGCGGCAGGCCUAACACAUGCACGUCGAACGAGUGGCGGACGGGUGAGUAAUGUCUGGGAAACUGCCUGAUGGAGGGGGAUACAUACUGGAAACGGUAGCUAAUACCGCAUACCAUCGGAUGUGCCCAGAUGGGAUGAGCUAGUAGGUGGGGUAACGGCGCACCUAGGCCACGCGCCCUAGCUGGUCUGAGAGGAUGACCAGCCACACUGGAACUGAUUCACGGUCCAGACGCUUACGGGUGGCAGCAGUGGGGAAUAUUGCACAAUGGGCGCAAGCCGGAUGAAGCCAUGCCGCGUGUAUGAAGAAGGCCUUCGGGUUGUAAGGUACUUUCAGCGUGGAGGCGUUACCCGCAGAAGAAGCACCGGCUAACUCCGUGCCAGCAGCCGCGGUAAUUC